rnacentral:tRNA from 1 species
GCUCUGUAGUGAAGUUCAUAAUGAGUUGCAAGCUCGUUGAUGUGCAUUAAUCUGCGCCGGGGCCUG